rnacentral:rRNA from 1 species
UACGUAGGCAGCGAGCGUUGUUCGGAGUUACUGGGCGUAAAGGGUGUGUAGGCGGUUUUUUAAGUUUGGUGUGAAAUCUCCCGGCUCAACUGGGAGGGUGCGCCGAAUACUGAAAGACUAGAGUGCGGGAGAGGAAAGUGGAAUUCCUGGUGUAGCGGUGAAAUGCGUAGAUAUCAGGAGGAACACCGGUGGUGUAGACGGCUUUCUGGACCGUAACUGACGCUGAGACACGAAAGCGUGGGUAGCAAACAGG